rnacentral:rRNA from 1 species
AUGUGGAGUACACUGACGAGGAAAAACCUCCACAUAUGGCGGCAGUCCUGCAGUUGUGCGUCGAGGAACUCUUCUUGGUGUACCACAUCGCAGCAGCCACAAAAUGGCCCAAGCGCCUCAAAGACUUCCUGUAGGAGGAGAAAUUGUACACAUUUGUUGGUUUCAGCAUUGGAGGUGACAAGCGGAAGCUUGGAAAGUCUGGUUUGGAAAUCAACCCCAACAACUUCAUCGACAUGCAGCGCAAGUGGAAAGAUCCUUUGCCGAAACAUGCUACAUGCAGACCAAAAAAUACUACGACUCCUUGGCCGAUGUUGUAGGCGGCGUCAUCCACCCAUUCUACGAAGGCAUGAAGAAGAAGAUGAAGAGGGAAGACCACAAACUGUGGGGGACCAGCCCGCUGCCAGACAACCUCAUCAUGUAUGCAGGAAUAGAUGCGUACGCAACGUACAAGUCAUGGAAGACAAUCGACAACAUCAUGACAGGUUGGGAUAUUUCAAAAGAGCAGGAGGCUGA